rnacentral:tRNA from 1 species
GGGACUCAGUUGGUUAGAGCGUUACAUUGACAUUGUAAAGGUCCGUGGUUCAAAUCCACGUGCGCCCACCA